GACAGAGGGUGCAAACGUUGUUCGGAAUUACUGGGCGUAAAGCGCGUGUAGGCGGCUAUGCAAGUCGGAUGUGAAAGCCCUCGGCUCAACCGGGGAAGUGCACCCGAAACUGCAAAGCUAGAGUCUCGGAGAGGAUCGUGGAAUUCUCGGUGUAGAGGUGAAAUUCGUAGAUAUCGAGAGGAACACCGGUGGCGAAGGCGAGUCCCUGGACACUUCCUGACACUGAGGCACGAAAGCUAGGGGAGCAAACAGG
rnacentral:rRNA from 1 species